rnacentral:rRNA from 1 species
UGGGGAAUAUUGCACAAUGGGCGCAAGCCUGAUGCAGCCAUGCCGCGUGUGUGAAGAAGGCCUUCGGGUUGUAAAGCACUUUCAGCGAGGAGGAAGGGUUCAGUGUUAAUAGCACUGUUCAUUGACGUUACUCGCAGAAGAAGCACCGGCUAACUCCGUGCCAGCAGCCGCGGUAAUACGGAGGGUGCAAGCGUUAAUCGGAAUUACUGGGCGUAAAGCGCACGCAGGCGGUUUGUUAAGUCAGAUGUGAAAUCCCCGCGCUUAACGUGGGAA